GGAACAACCUGUCCAGCCAGGAAUGGCCUGCUUGAGCUUCUACGUUGCCUCUAAGAGCACAUGAUCCCCUCACAGAGUGUCUUAGUUAGGGCCUCUAUGCUGUGAUGAAGAAGUCAAGGCAAAAACUUGGAGGCAGGAGCUGGUGUGGAGACUGUGGCAUUGCUGCUUGCUCUCCAUGGCGUGUUCAGUCAGUUCCAUUUGUUUUGUUCAAAAACAGGGUCUCUUCUACAUAGCCCUGGCUCUUCUGGAACUCACCAUGCGGACCAGGCUGGCCUCCAACUCAUGGAGAUCCUACCUUGCCUCCUGAGUGCUAGGAUUAGAGGCCUGCACCAUUACACCAGGCUCAGCCUGCAUUCUUUUUUUCUUUCUUUCUUUCUUUUUUUUUUUCCGGAGCUGGGGACCGAACCCAGGGCCUUGUGCUUGCUAGGCAAGCGCUCUACCACUGAGCUAAAUCCCCAACCCCCUGCAUUCUUAUAAAACCCAGGACUACCAGCCCAGGGAUGACCCCACCUACAGUGGACUUGGCCCACACACAUCAAACACCAAUUUAAAAAAUGCCCUACAGGCUUGCCUGCAGCCCUGUCUUAUGAAGCAUUUUGUGGAUCGAGGUUCCCUCAUCUCAGAUGACUCUAGCCUGUGUCAAGAUGACAUAAAACUGGGCAGCACACAAGGAUUUGGAAAAGAGCUCCCCAGGGACCCAGGGGAGCAAGAGCCACUUCAGCCUUGAGACACGCAGAGCAUCAGGCAGGAACCUCAAUCUGGAGAGAGUGCUCAAAGCUAGAAGCAUUGCCACAGGCUCUCAGGGAAGCCAGACAGGCCUGGGACGUGGCUAAGCUCUGCCACUCUUCCUCCCUUAACACCAUCCAAGUCAUCUUCAACCCUCCCUUCUCAGGGACCCCUUUGAGAAGUGGAAGUGGAAUUAUGGGUAGAGGGUUCCGUUGUGUCAACGGUUCUACCGUAAGCAGAAUGAGCAGUGUUGACCAGGUGUUCUCUGGAGUGGCGGGUCUCAGCCUUCCUAAUGCUGUGACCCUUUAAUUCAGUCCCUCAUGGUGUGGUGACCCCCAACCAUAAAAUUAUUUCAUUGCUACUUCUUAAGUAGAAUUUCGCUACAGUUACAAAUCAUAAUGGAAAUACCUGAUAUGUAGGAUAUCUGAUAUGUGACCUUUAUGAAAGUCAGUCAUCCUCCAAAGGAGUCACGCCCCACGGGUUGAAAAACGCCAGAGGAACAGAAUUGAUAGAACAUACAUAAGAAGUAGGCCCUGAUGUCAGAAAAGGAACGGACUCGCUAGCAAGAGUGAAGGCAGGCAGAGAGAGGGGGCAAGCUUCCUUCCUCCAUGUCGUACGUAUAGGCUGCUAUCAGAAGGGGUGGCCCAGGUUAAAGAUGAAUCUUCCCACCUUAAAAGAUCCAGAUUAAAAUCGGGUCUUUCUCACGUUAAAUGAUUUAAUUAAGAAAGAAAGAAAAAAAAAGUCCCUCACAGUUGCCCUUGGCCGCUUGGGUCUUAGUUAAUUCCAGUUGUAGUCAAAUUGGCAACCCAAGAAUAGCCCCACACCAGGUGUACAGAGACGGGCGCACCAGGAUGUGACAUACAAACGUGUUGCUGAGUGCCCCACCCACACCCUGAAAGAACCCUAAGCCAGGCUGCCCAAGUUCUGCUUCGUGAGCCUAGACGGGGCUUGUGCUGGUUGAAAUGAGUUGUUUCUUCAUUUGUAGCCCUCCUCCCCCAUCCCCUUUCCAGGCAGCUCCAUCUUUCUUCCACUGAACUCCCAGAUCUGUCUCAGUGCCUGCCCUGUGUCCUAUCGGUUACUAGAUCAGCCUGGGGCACAACAAGUCCAGUGUGGAGGCGGGGGUUGGGGGUCGGCUCUCAGUGUCCUAGGCUGAUUCCAUGGGUUCCGUGGGCUCACCUCCCUCUACAGAUCUUCAUGUGUGUCUGCCACCUGUACGGUUGGGAGGCAGGUGCUUGUCACAAUUGACAAGCCCUACUAAUUAAUCAGAGGUUCCAGAAUGCAAGAAGCCCGUGGCACUGCUGACUGUCAUGGGAAGAGACACCAGGCCCUACCUAUUAGCCAUCAACUCUGAGCCCUAAUCCACUCUCCUGGGAGGUCGGGUUAGAGACCCCACAGGAAACAGUUGAAUUGGGGUAUGAUGACAUUUGUCUUUAAUCCCAGUGCUUGGGAGACCAAGGCAGGUGGAGCUCUGUGAGUUCAAGGACAGCCUGGUCUACAUAGCCAGUUCUACUCCAGCUGGAGUGACACGAUGAAACAAUGUUCCGAAACAAUAAUAAAAUGACAUUGGAAACAUGUAUUCA
rnacentral:lncRNA from 1 species